GGCUCGUGGUCCCAAGAAACAUCUGAAGCGCGUAGCGGCUCCAAAACACUGGAUGCUGGAUAAGCUGACUGGCGUGUUUGCUCCUCGUCCAUCCACUGGUCCACACAAACUGAGGGAAUGCCUGCCUCUGAUCAUUUUCCUAAGGAACAGACUUAAGUAUGCCCUGACUGGAGAUGAAGUAAAAAAGAUUUGCAUGCAGCGAUUCAUUAAGAUUGAUGGGAAAGUCAGGACCGAUAUAACCUACCCUGCUGGGUUUAUGGGUGAGUGAGUAGGGGACCUGGUAGUGGCCACAAGCCCUUAACUCCUUCAACAUGCCAGGAGAUUAGGAAAAUGCCAGGCUUUCCUGAUCAUCUUCACCCCCACCCUGCCAUGGUGAUUUAGAGAGGUUUGGCUAUUUGGGCUUUUGAUCCUUUUUAUUUGAAUUUCUUUACUUGCAAAUCUCUCCCAUGCAAGCCUAUUGGAUCAGGAGUAGAGGAAAUUCAGACUUGGUAUUUUUACUUAAACACUGUGGGGAUAGCUUCUGAAACCCAAAUUCCCAUUUAAGGUUUAUGUAGAGUCAUGGUAAAAAUGCCCCAGCCCAAUGUGGUGUAGUGAGGGUUACUGGGGUAACUUUAUUCUUUGAUAUCAGAUGUCAUCAGCAUUGACAAGACUGGAGAGAACUUCCGUCUGAUCUAUGACACCAAGGGUCGCUUUGCUGUUCAUCGAAUUACACCUGAGGAGGC
rnacentral:lncRNA from 1 species